UACAGAGGGUGCAGCGUUGUUCGGAAUUAUUGGCGUAAAGGGCGCGAUAGGCGGCCAUGCGUGUCUUCCGGUGAAAAUCCCUCGGCUCAACCGAGGACGUGCGGAAGAAACUGCAAGGCUCGAGUCCGGAAGAGGGGGGCGGAAUUCCCAGUGUAGCGGUGAAAUGCGUAGAUAUUGGGAGGAACACCAGUGGCGAAGGCGGUCCCCUGGGCCGGAACUGACGCUGAGGCGCGAAAGCGUGGGUAGC
rnacentral:rRNA from 1 species